UUACUUCAGGAGCACAUCAGCUAUACCAAGAUUGAAAGAAUACAGUGAAGAUUAGCAUGGCACCUGCACGGCAAUGAUAUGCAAAUCUGUAAGCCGUUCCGUUAAUUG